GACGAACGCUGGCGGCGUGCCUAAUACAUGCAAGUAGGACGCAGUUGCGAACGGGUGAGUAACGCGUAGGUAACUGCCUAUUAGAGGGGGAUAACUAUUGGAAACGAUAGCUAAUACCGCAUACUAGUAGAUGGACCUGCGUUGUAUUAGCUAGUAGGUAGGGUAAUGGCUUACCUAGGCAACGAUACAUAGCCGACCUGAGAUGUAGAGCGGCCAAACUGGGACUGAGAAACGGCCCAGACUCCUACGGGAGGCAGCAGUAGUGAAUCUUCGGCAAUGGGGGGAACCCUGACCGAGCAACGCCGCGUGAGUGAAUAAGGUUUUCGGAUCGUAAAGCUCUGUUGUUAAGGAAGCGGUACUUAACCAGAAAGGGACGUCUAACUACGUGCCAGCAGCCGCGGUAAUAC
rnacentral:rRNA from 1 species